GCCCGGAUGGCGAAAUUGGUAGACGCAGCGGACUUAAAAUCCGCCGACCCUAAACAGGUCAUACGGGUUCGAUUCCCGUUCUGGGCACCA
rnacentral:tRNA from 1 species